UACAGAGACUGCAAGCGUUAUUCGGAUUCACUGGGCGUAAAGGGUGCGCAGGCGGCCGUGUGUGUCAGGUGUGAAAGCCCGGAGCUUAACUCCGGAAUUGCGCCUGAAACUACAUGGCUAGAGCAUUGGAGAGGGUAGCGGAAUUCACGGUGUAGCAGUGAAAUGCGUAGAUAUCGUGAGGAACACCAGAGGCGAAGGCGGCUACCUGGACAAUUGCUGACGCUCAGGCACGAAAGCGUGGGGAG
rnacentral:rRNA from 1 species